AUUGAACGCUGGCGGCAUGCCUUACACAUGCAAGUCGAACGGUAACAGGUCUUCGGAUGCUGACGAGUGGCGAACGGGUGAGUAAUACAUCGGAACGUGCCUAGUAGUGGGGGAUAACUACUCGAAAGAGUGGCUAAUACCGCAUGAGAUCUACGGAUGAAAGCAGGGGAUCGAAAGACCUUGUGCUACUAGAGCGGCCGAUGGCAGAUUAGGUAGUUGGUGGGAUAAAAGCUUACCAAGCCGACGAUCUGUAGCUGGUCAGAGAGGACGAUCAGCCACACUGGGACUGAGACACGGCCCAGACUCCUACGGGAGGCAGCAGUGGGGAAUUUUGGACAAUGGGCGAAAGCCUGAUCCAGCAAUGCCGCGUGCAGGAUGAAGGCCUUCGGGUUGUAAACUGCUUUUGUACGGAACGAAAAGCCCUGGGUUAAUACCCUGGGGUCAUGACGGUACCGUAAGAAUAAGCACCGGCUAACUACGUGCCAGCAGCCGCAGUAAUAC
rnacentral:rRNA from 1 species